rnacentral:rRNA from 1 species
CAGCCGCCACGGUAAUACGUAGGGUGCAAGCGUUAAUCGGAAUUACUGGGCGUAAAGCGUGCGCAGGCGGUCCGUUAAGACAGAUGUGAAAUCCCCGGGCUUAACCUGGGAACUGCAUUUGUGACUGGCGGGCCAGAGUAUGGCAGAGGGGGGUAGAAUUCCACGUGUAGCAGUGAAAUGCGUAGAGAUGUGGAGGAAUACCGAUGGCGAAGGCAGCCCCCUGGGCCAAUACUGACGCUCAUGCACGAAAGCGUGGGGAGCAAACAGGAUUAGAUACCCGCGUAGUCCCUGUCUCUUAUAC